AACGAACGCUGGCGGCAGGCCUAACACAUGCAAGUCGAGCGGACAUCUUCGGAUGUUAGCGGCGGACGGGUGAGUAACGCGUGGGAACGUGCCCUUUGCUUCGGAAUAGCCUCGGGAAACUGGGAGUAAUACCGGAUGUACCCUUUGGGGGAAAGAUUUAUCGGCAAAGGAUCGGCCCGCGUUGGAUUAGGUAGUUGGUGGGGUAAUGGCCUACCAAGCCGACGAUCCAUAGCCGGUUUGAGAGGAUGAUCAGCCACACUGGGACUGAGACACGGCCCAGACUCCUACGGGAGGCAGCAGUGGGGAAUCUUAGACAAUGGGGGAAACCCUGAUCUAGCCAUGCCGCGUGAGCGAUGAAGGCCUUAGGGUUGUAAAGCUCUUUCACCGGGGAAGAUAAUGACGGUACCCGGAGAAGAAGCCCCGGCUAACUCCGUG
rnacentral:rRNA from 1 species